UAAUACGUAGGGGGCGAGCGUUGUCCGGAAUUACUGGGCGUAAAGGGAGCGUAGGCGGUAGAUUAAGUUGGAUGUGAAAUACCCGGGCUUAACUUGGGGGGUGCAUUCAAAACUGGUUUACUAGAGUUCAGGAGAGGGAAGCGGAAUUCCUAGUGUAGCGGUGAAAUGCGUAGAUAUUAGGAGGAACACCAGUGGCGAAGGCGGCUUUCUGGACUGACACUGACGCUGAUGCUCGAAAGCGUGGGGAGCAAACAGG
rnacentral:rRNA from 1 species